UGCAGUCGAACGAUGAAGCUUCUAGCUUGCUAGAAGUGGAUUAGUGGCGCACGGGUGAGUAAGGUAUAGUUAAUCUGCCCUACACAAGAGGACAACAGUUGGAAACGACUGCUAAUACUCUAUACUCCUGCUUAACACAAGUUGAGUAGGGAAAGUUUUUCGGUGUAGGAUGAAAACUUAUAGGAUCAGCUAGUUGGUAAGGUAAUGGCUUACCAAGGGGAUGACACUUAUAUGUGGUCUGAGAGGAUGAUCAGUCACACUGGAACUGAGACACGGUCCAGACUCCUACGGGAGGCAGCAGUAGGGAAUAUUGCGCAAUGGGGGAAACCCUGACGCAGCAACGCCGCGUGGAGGAUGACACUUUUCGGAGCGUAAACUCCUUUUCUUAGGGAAGAAUUCUGACGGUACCUAAGGAAUAAGCACCGGCUAACUCCGUGCCAGCAGCCGCGGUAAUACGGAGGGUGCAAGCGUUACUCGGAAUCACUGGGCGUAAAGGGCGCGUAGGCGGAUUAUCAAGUCUCUUGUGAAAUCUAAUGGCUUAACCAUUAAACUGCUUGGGAAACUGAUAGUCUAGAGUGAGGGAGAGGCAGAUGGAAUUGGUGGUGUAGGGGGU
rnacentral:rRNA from 1 species